rnacentral:lncRNA from 1 species
AUACAAAUCAGUGCUCUAGCUAGAAAUCAAAAGGGGCAGGGUGCCAGUGGAGGGCAGGGCACUUUUUAUGAUAAGAAAAGGCACUGCUCAUUUUUUUUGUCUACGUUUCUGUGUGUAUCACGAGUUAACGAAUCUCUUUUUUUUUUUUGCUGUAUAUGUUGUUUUUUUUAAAUAAAGAUGCUUUUCAACUAUAGUCUUUAUUUCAUUGUUUGUGUAGUUAUGAAUGAUAUAGUACAUCUUCAUCAACAGAUUAUGUUUUU